UCUCCUGAUGACCCGAUCUGCGAGGACGUGUUCUACCUCCUUAUCAUAGGAGGUCACGACCGCUGUAGGUGCCCUCUUAGACAACCCUCGGCUUGGAUCAUCCUUGUCUCCAUGAUAAGGUUUCAAGUAGCUUACGUGGAAGACAGGAUGAAUCUUCAACCUCGGUGGCAGCUCGACUCUAUAGGACACCUUGCCGACCUUCCCAAG
rnacentral:lncRNA from 1 species